rnacentral:lncRNA from 1 species
UGGAUUCCACUCACUCCACCGAGACGAGAACCCAAACACGCCUUCUCGGCGAGCGGCGGCGGCUUCGGCGGCGGGCGGCGGUGGCGAUGGCUGGUUCCUCCGUCAGACCGCCCAACGAAGCGAUGCCAGGUGACCGGCCUUUACUCCUAUUUCCUCUAGACGCGUCGGUAGCCGUGGGGGAGUUGGGGUUAGUGGGCGGCGGGGGGAAGAACGCCGGUAAGGCGCAUCUGUUCUCUGUCGCCGCAGCGUGGCCUUUUGCUUUGCUAGGGCGACAGCGAGAUGCGAAGGCAUGGCGGGGGGUGGCAGCGGGGGGAAGAAUCGGGGGAUGGGCGGGUGACGUUCUCCGUUGUUCGAUUCGGCCGUGUUCUUCUGUGGAUUAGAACUAUUAAGAUUUUACGAUAGCAGUUUAAGAGCAAGUUCAAUACUAUAGCCAACUAAUAGCUCCAAUUCAUCUAUAGUCAAUCUAAUAGUCAACAAUAGUUACUUACAAAACAUUAUUACAUGACACUGUGUCUCUUGGAGUUCGUGUAGCCCACAUCUUUCUCUCUCCUCUCUUAUCUCUUUAAAAUAUGCUUAUAGCUGGCUUAUAGUCUGCUAUUAUAUCUGCUCUAAAUGGUAUUGAUGGAACUAACUUCUAUAAAGUUUUAAAAAUUACUAUAGAAAAAUGAGACGGCGAACUUCGAGAAGUGCACGAGUAAAAGCCGAGAAAAAUGUAGGGAUAACAUGGUGCAACAAAAGCAGCCUGUGUCUCCGUUAGUGCCAAUGCAGGAGAUAUUCGAUGCCCAGUUUUUUGUCUAGCUUUGCUGAAAAGAUGAUUGGGACUGCAGUUGCAACAGGUUGUGGUUGGUAUGAUGGUUACAGCUCCCUGGAUUGGGAGAUUAUACUUGUGUUGUCUCACGGCUGCUGAUCAGUUUCGUGGCCUUUUGUUUUGUGAUUAGUCUAUUUACGAGGCCCACUGAAGGUUUGGUUUUCCUACUGGAAAAUUUUGAAAUAAAAGAGUAUUUCAGGCUCAUCGAUUGGUUUUUCGUUGAAAAAAAAUCAAACGGCAUAUUUGUUUACAAAAAUAAUUUAUGACUAAACUUUUAUAUACAUGUUCUUAUUGAUUAAAAAAGCUAAAGAAAUAAACUAUGAUAAAACCCCUAAAAUCCAUUCUAAUUUAAGGUUUAAAAUUUAAAUUUUUUAAGCAUUUGUAAAAGUGAAAAUAUGAUGUCAUCAGAUUCGAUUUUAGGUGUUGCGAUAAAAAUUAUACCUUUGUUCUUCGGGAUAUUCAUUGUACAUUUAGGUAAAUAUUCCCCCAAACGAAUUAGGUGAAGAAUAGCUCAGUCAUAUAUGAGCUUCACAAUUGCCCUCUUUAUGCUUGCUGUGUGGUAUAUCUACAUCGUUGUAUCUAUGCUCCUUUUUUCGUUUUACAUUGGAAGCCAAAACGAUAUAAAAUUUUGUGUGGAGACAAAGACGAAGCACGAUAUAAAAUUUAAACCGUAUCAGCAUUUUCCGUUUGCCUUGUCGCUAACCACUUUGCUAGCCUGCUUUAAAUAUAUUAUCUGAGUUAAUAAUGCAGAUACCGUUUGUCUAACCCACUGCUCUACGUGGUUGCUUUCUCUACUAUCUUAUUUAUAAUUAUUGCCUGAAGACAGUGUUACAUGUAGCAGCUGCUCUAUAUUUGUCGUUGAAUACUACUGUUAGAUAGUAAAACAGCUAUUUCGUUGUUUGCUAUGCAAAGCAUCCUUGGUACUGGUACCUGUACAGGGAGGAAAACUCCCUUGUAUUACAUUUUCUUGGCAUAUGCCAAUUUCUGGUUACCGAAAAUCUAUCAUUUGGACUCCACUUUAUUUUGUAAAACAUAAUACUCAAUUAUGUAAAUUAAUAUAGAAAAUGGUGGAGAUGAAUUAUAUAUUUAUUAAACAGGAAAAAUAUAGGCGAGGUAUGGAUCCUACAUUUACAACAAUUUUGGAUGUAGAUUCUAACUCAUUACCAUUGAAUCGACUACGAAAGAAACUAUUGAAUGGUACUGUCACCUCUUAUUUGGUAAAGAGUGACCCUUGCUGGUGCCUGGUAGUAUGACUAUUAAGUGCAUGCAUAAGAAUGACUUCCAGCUAUGAUAAGUAUGAGUGGAAGAUGAAAUGAAUAUAAUUAGCGUCAGAGGCAAGCCAAAUUUGGUACGUGUCAAUCUUAGCAACAUGGUCUUUUAAUAUGAAAACAACUGAUAAUAUGAUCCGGAGAGAAGAGGAAACGAUGUUUUUAUUGACAUGGACAUUACUACUCUUUUUUUUUUUUUUUGAACAAUGCACCGGAAGGGAGAGGUUCUCGACCUGAAUUUCAAUUAAAAAUAGUGCAAUAAAAAUUAUGCGCCGCAACCUAAGAGUUCAUUUGUUAUGAUCUAAACUUUCCAGUAAAAAGAUGAUCUAAACUUAUGUAAUUUCUACAUACAAGUUAAUGUCUUUCUUUUCAUUGAGUCUCGUGUAUGUUAUGAGAUCAACAAUGGAUCUGAUGUUGGCUCAAACAAAAGCAUAGGUUGUGUUAGGUUUUGUGUCAUUUUCUCGUGGUUCUGAUGUGUUAUGUAGAGAAACAGAAGCAUAAUAAUUGAUCGUUUAUGCUUUAUCAUACUUGACCGGAUUCUCUGUUGUAGAUCACUACUUUGUCGUAUUUACUUUAUCUAAAAGAAAAUAUAUAUGCAAAAAGGUUGAGCACGGAAUGGGUUGGUAUUUUGUAGUCCUGAGCCCUCUUGAUAUAUUCUCUCCUUUCUCCCUCAGUAACUCUUACGCUAAAGAAUUCCGGACUUAUUAGGUGUUAUUCGUAAUGUUUUCUUUUCUUUUUUAGGGAUCCUUUUAAAAUAUUUAAUUCUCCUGGUGUGUGUAUCUCGUAGUAUGCUAAUUUUUUCUAUUUUUAGAGAUUUUUAAGUAUUUUUUAGAGAUUUUUUAAAAUGAUACAUGACACAUUGAUUAUUUUACUAAUAUUAUAUACUCGCUUUUAAAAAUCUUAAACAAAUACUUAAAAAUCUCCAAAGAUAGAAAAAUUUGGUGUGCUAUAAGAUUUUGAUAUGAAGAAUGUAUUGAGUUGUAUAAAUCGAAAUUUAUUGAUAAUUUGAUAUAUUUUUGAACCUAACUCACGGAGCAGCCCAUGAGUCGUGACUCACUGUAGCUAACCCUCUAUGUACUACUAAUUAUAUUAUAUUUAUAUUUAUAUAUAUAUAUAUAUAUUAUUAUAAAAGGUGAUAAAGUUUCUGCCGACAGAUUGUGCCCGUCAAUGCACAAUCCGGAUCGAUAAUGGACAUGGGCGAUGGACAGCAUAGCCGGCUCAAAGCAUUGUUGGCACAAAAUCAAUUAAUAGUUGGCCGAUGCUCUAAUGUCCAUAUGACACCGAUAGCCAAUACACCAAUAAUUGAUUCACUUGCUACACUUUUGGAAAUUUAAAACAACUUUAUUGGCAUCUCGCCAUAGACGAUUUGGUAUCAUAGGAAGUUCUCAAACUUUCAAUGGUGUUUAUGUUUUGAAAAAAAAACAUAAUCAUAAGAUGAUUUAUUUAAUAGAGAGAGUUACCCAUGAUUUUUUUUUCCUAAAUCUUUUCUACGGCACUGAAUUUUGUUCAUCUCCUGCAUGCCAUUGAGUUUUAGUUUCCAUCCCUUCUGUACCAAUACAGUGCAUUGACCAUUAAUUUUUUUUCCCAAAUAAUCAUAUUACCCAACUCUAAUACUUGUUUGCUAGCAUACUAUAAAUUCAAAAGAUGAAUAAUAGAUUAAUUCGUAAAACAAAGAGAGGAUGGAAUUAUUUGAUCAGAAAUUUAAGAACUCCACUUAGAAAUUUUAAAUAAAUUUUAAACCAAAUUUGAUGAAUUUCGGACAAGAUUUUCACCAAAACCAAAUAAAAGAUCGUUUUGUAAUUAAAUUUAUUGGUGAAAUCUUAUCUGGAUUUAGUCAUUUUUAAAAUUGGUUCAUUUCUUUUCAAAUAUGGCAUAAAAUAAUUUUGUGGCAUUUUAUUUUAUUGUAAAGGAAAAAAUACACUUAGUCAUCUACAAGUUUAACCGAUUUUGUGUUUCCAACUCAUCGGCUUAGCCCACAUUUCCGAUCGAUCCAGCCCAUCAGAGUUGGCUACCUCAGACCCUCAGUCCACGGAGCCAACCCUGUUGUUACCUGAAGGGGCGUGUGAAAUUCGCCGCUCGGUGGUAAUCACUUUCGUUAUUCUCUAGACCGAUGGCGAAAUUAUGAACUAAUUUUAGAUUUUUUUUGUGUUGCAAUGCACCAGCACUUUUCUAGUUCAAUCGUAAAUCUAGAGUAUGGUUUUCGAGUUUUUUUCAUCGUAGUUUAUUUUUAAAACUUAACUUUAACUUUACGUCAAAAAAAUAACGUAUAGACAAAAUUUACUCAUAAAAAACACUUUUGCUUUUUUUUUCACUUGAAACGCCAAAAGAUCACCAUCUUCUUCGUACGAGUUCGAGUUUUUUGAGCAAAUCUUGGAUUGGCGAGAGGUGUAAGCACUGCGAGGCGUACAUUACAUAUCAAUCCAUAAUUACAAGCAAAAACAAAAACACAUUUCCACGCAAAUCGUUCUUAAUCCGCGCUUUAUACGUUAGGCCGGCGUGACGAGCUUUCUCAGCCCGGCGACGAACUCCCGCGCGAACCUCCGCUACACCGCGUCGUCNNNNNNNNNNNNNNNNNNNNUCCCCCGCGCCGCCCACCGGCCCGGCCCCCGCCGCGGCCACCGCGUCGCGCACGUCGUCGCGCCCGAACCACCCGUCGGCGGCGCGCCGCGGGACCUCCCUGCCCACGCGGAGCUCGCGCGCGAACAGCGGCGCGUUCAGGUACUGGUCGCCCUUCAUCGGCAGCAGCACGAGGCGGCAGCCGGCGCAGAGGCCCCCCCCGCCGCAGCUGAGCCCGGAGUGGUUGACGAAGCAGCCCACGCUGCGGUGCCGCAGGAUGUGCUGCUGCUGCACCCACCCGGUGUGGACGAGCCCUCUCCCCUUCACCCUCUCCUGCAGCCCCGGCGGCGUGCGCUUCUUGAGCUCCGCCUCAGCGUCCGCGCCCUUGGGGAAGUUGAGCACGGCGAGGAACGGAAGGUUGGUGGCCUCUAGGCCGAGGAGGAGCUCCGUCGCGGCGGCUGGUGAUAGGAAGGUCUCGCUGCCGAAGGAGGCGAGGACGACGGAGUUGUCCGGGAAGGAGGAGAGCCAGGUCGCCCACCGCUCCUCCAGCUCGCCCUGCGGCGGAUCCGGACGAUGGGACCCGUGAGGAGCACCGGCUUGCCGUGCUGCGCCGCCAGGUAGUCGAUGUAGGGACCUUCCAUCUCGGCGCAGGUCUUGAGGACGAGGGCGUCGCGGGCCUUGAUGCAGGCGGCGACGCGGUCAUACACGCACGGCAUGCCAUGGAAGCUUUUGAAGAGGUAGCUGAAGUCGGCGGCCUGGUAGGCCGGCACGUUGACGAGCGGCGACGACGGCGGGAACCCCGCUGGCGCCGACNNNNNNNNNNNNNNNNNNNNNNNNNNNNNNNNNNNNNNNNNNNNNNNNNNNNNNNNNNNNNNNNNNNNNNNNNNNNNNNNNNNNNNNNNNNNNNNNNNNNNNNNNNNNNNNNNNNNNNNNNNNNNNNNNNNNNNNNNNNNNNNNNNNNNNNNNNNNNNNNNNNNNNNNNNNNNNNNNNNNNNNNNNNNNNNNNNNNNNNNNNNNNNNNNNNNNNNNNNNNNNNNNNNNNNNNNNNNNNNNNNNNNNNNNNNNNNNNNNNNNNNNNNNNNNNNNNCCGCGCCGGCCCCAGCGCCUCCACGGCCGCCGCCGACGACAGCAUGGCCUCAACGCGCGGCACGUUCGCCGCCGCCGACAGCAACGUGACGCGCACCCCGCCGACGCCGACGAUCUUCCGCGCCAGCUGCGCGAACGGGCUGAUGUGGCCGAACGCCAGGAACGGGAACAUCACCACGUGCAGCUCCCCGUCUCCGCCACCGUCACCGCCGGCCGCCGGCCGCCGUCGCGCGCACGCUCUCCAUAUCGUCGUCGCGGCGAUCGAUCGAUCGGGGCGCACGGAGAGACGUAGGUAGCUGGCGAGCAGACCUUGGCAUGUUUCUUGUGACUAAAAAAAGAGGGAGCCUUUUGUAUUCGGACGCGCACAGUUCGUCACGUCGCCGUCUAACGGCUGCCGCUGGCCCGCCGCUGCAUCUACCCUCUCGAUUACGACAGGCGUUUAUCUUACCGGACAGCGUAGGGUUAUCAAGAUAGGACCCAUUUGAGCAAGUUCAAUAGUAAUACCAACUACUGGUUCUAAUUUAUCUAUAAUCAGUCUAAUAGCUAAUUCAUAUAAUAGCUACCUAGAAAAUAUAUACUAUUAUGUCCCACCUGUCAUACACACAUUGUGUCUUAGAGUGGGUGCUACAGCUGGUUACAAAUAUAUAGCCUACUGCUCUUCUCUCUUUUCUUAUCUUAAAAUAUAUUUAUAGCUGACUUAUAGUCUGCUAUUGUCCUCGCUCUUAGUCGUUUGAGCAAACCUCUUCACACAAGUUCUUGUAAUUUUAAGGGGUGAGUUGGAGAGAAAACAUAUCGCAUAUGCUUAUUCUCAUAUUUUAAGUGACUAAAAUAAAAAAAAAACCCCACACCUCAUAAGUCCACAUAUUAGUGUUACACGACCUGACAGUAGGCUAGAGGAGACUUAUUUGGAGGAGAAAGGGAAUGAACUACUCCUCAUAUAAGAAAUAACAUUUGUACAAACUUUAAGAGGAAAAGAAAGACAAUAUUGACUAAGCGGUGGUUGAAAUUAUUGUAUUAUAGCUAGAGUAGAGUUGAUGUGUUAUAUGUAUACACUAACUAAUUUUACUCAUAGGAUAAAUCCUACGAUCCAAAAUCAUACAUAUUAAUACAACGGCUUGGACCUAAAGAUCCUACGAGUUUAGAAAUGGUGACACCAAGACCUCUGGCGAUGGGAUUUCUCCCGUGACGAUCGCAUUUGGGAUGAAGCUCUUCUUAAGUUUCGAUCUCCAGUUUACUUCUCCUCUUACUUCUCUCGUCGGCCUUUUACCUUGGUUGCUCUAGUCUUAAGGGCUUGUAUUGGUGAUUCUCUUGUUGAUUUUCAUGUCACUCAUCUAUAUAUCUGGUCGGUGCUAUAGUUUUUUGGUGUGUUUUAAAGGAAUUGGUCUCUGGAUCUAUAGUCUUCGUUCUUACUCCUGCAAAGAUUUUGUUGCUUGAUUUGUUUCUUUGGAGGGAUGGAAGACCCAAUUGGCAAAGAGAGUUUCAAUUCUGAUCUUCUGCCCUAGAGGCUGAAUGGACACUGAUUCGUAGAAAAAAGGAUAAGAGGAUCCCUGGAUCCUAAUUCGAGUUGGAUCAUGUUCAGAAAUCUUUACUCCCUCCGUUUCAUAAUGUAAAAUGUUUGACUUUUUUAAUUGUAACGUUUGAUUAUUUGUCUUAUUCAAAAAAUUAUGAAAAUAUCAUUUAUUUUGCCUGUGACUUAAUUUAUUAACAAAAGAACUUUAAACACAACUUGUUAUUUUUUAUAUUUGUAAAUUUUUGAAUAAAAUGAAUGGUCAAAUGUUACUAAAAAAGUCAAACAUUUUACAUUAUGAAACGGAGGUUAUUAGAAGAUUUGACAAUAAAGUUUCGUUGUCCCAAUCCUUUAGUUUCUGUAAAAUCGGUGUUUACUCGUAUAUCCACGGCUUUUCUAGCGAUCGCCGGAAAGGGCAAGCCUCUGCUGGAAGGUAACGCCUCUGAUGAUCACGUCUGUCACUAAUUUCGUGGUUUCUCCGAGAAUUUCAAAUAUGAAUGAUGAAGCUACUCCUAUGAUUGUGUCUCAGCCCGCUAAAUUCCUAAAGGUUAUCCUCUUAGGGGCGUUUGUUUCUAGAUACUUAUUUUUAGUCACUAUUUACAUCGGAUCGAUGUUUGGACACCUAUUAUAAAUAGUAAACGUAGACUAUUAAUAAAACUCAUCUAUAAUCUUGAACUAAUUCGUGAGACGAAUCUAAUGAGCCUAAUUAAUCCAUAAUUAGCCUAUAUGAUGCUACAGUAAAUAUUUACUAAUUAUGGAUUAAUUAGGUUUAAAAAGUUCGUCCCAUGGAUUAGCUUUCAUUUAUAAAAUUAGUUUUUUUAUUAGUAUAUAUUUAAUACUUUAAAUUAGUGUCCAAACAUCCAAUGUGACAUGAGGCUAAAAAAAAAUUAGCCUUAUCUAAUCAACCCUAGCUUACAGUGCACUAGAUGUUUGCAAAUGGGCCACAUUGAAGAUACCUGUGUUGCCAGAGUCCCAUGUGCUUCAUGUCUCAAGCUAGACCACCAGGCCAAUGUAUGUUAGCAUAAAAUUAAAAAAAAAAGGCCUGGAUUUCAAGGCCCAAACAUUCAGUGGCACUUGAUUCGGCCUCGAAUGGGACUUAGGAGAAAAGUAAUAAAAGUUUCGUUGAAAAUGUUCCGAUUUCUUGCCCUGGUUUUAGGCGGUUUCCGUCCAAUUCUUUGUCUUCCGCAGCUCACGCUCCCAACCUCAGCUUAGUCUUCUUCACAAACCCUAAGAGCAAGUUCAAUAGAGCCAACUACUAACUCCAAUUUAUAUAUAGUCAAUCUAGCUAAUAGACAAUUCAUACAAUAGUUACUUACAAAAUAUAUACUAUCAUAUUCUACUUGUUAUACACACAUUAUGUCUUGGAGUCUGUGCUGUAGCUAGCUAUAAAUCUAUAAUCUGCUACACUUCUCUCUUCUCUCUUAUCUUCUUAAAAUAUAUUUAUAACUGGCUUAUAGCCAGCUAUUGUACCUGCUCUAAUGGUGAAUGUCAAUCUAAACCCUGCCCCAUUCGUGCAGCUGAUGAUGGCUAUCAAUGCAGCUUGGAUGCAUCGUCCACCUCGUGCGGAUCGAUAUGAUCUUCAAGGAUGACCCCCACCAAGCGACCUGAAGGUAUUGCAGUAGCUGUUCUUGAGGCCCCCUCCGCCACCUGAGCAAUACGAGCAGAUGGUGCAAGAAAUGGUCGAUCAUGUGCGCAAAAUGUCCUUGGAUAUCAUGUUUGGAUACUAGUGUGUAUGGUAGUAAGAUCUAAUUUCAUAUAUAGUUUAUGUCUAAGGUGUACAAACACAUAUAUUCGUGUUUCUACUCUCACGUAACAGAAAGC